rnacentral:rRNA from 1 species
AGCUCCAAUAGCGUAUACUAAAGUUGUUGCGGUUAAAAAGCUCGUAGUUGGAUCUUGGAAUGUGAACGCGAGGUCGCUUUACUGAGUGAACUUUGUGGCGCAUUCUUCUAUUUGGUCGGUGUGUUUGUGCUCUUAAUUGAGUGCAACAUUCUACCAGAAAUUUUACCUUGAAAAAAUUAGAGUGUUCAAAGCAGACCUUUUUGUGUCUGAAUAUUCGUGCAUGGAAUAAUAAAAUAUGAAUUCGGUUCUAUUUUAUUGGUUUUCGGAACUCGAGUUAAUGAUUAAGAGGGACAGACGGGGGCAUCCGUACUCUGCCGUUAGAGGUGAAAUUCUUGGAUCGGCGGAAGACGCGCAACUGCGAAAGCAUUUGCCAAGAAUGUUUUCUUUAAUCAAGAACGAA